UGUGAUAGACUUUUCCUAGUACGAAAGGACCGGAAAAGUGAGGCCUAUACUCACCACAGCACGCCUCCUCCUUAAGCAAUGAAUCCCACUGAAUUGCCAAAAGACACCUACACCCCGAACUCGUUCUAGAAAAGAACC
rnacentral:rRNA from 1 species